rnacentral:misc_RNA from 1 species
CUCCAGACUUGCUUAAAAAGUUGAGUACGGAUUGUCUCAUCAUGCAAAACCAUCAUUACGGCAUCUCGCCAGAACGGCUUCAAGAGAACCAGGAUCUAUCUAGUUUCUUCAAGAUCUUGACUACUAGUGCAGAUGCAGAUGACAAAGUUUAUGUCUCCACUGUAGAAGCACACAACUAUCCUGUGACUGCUUUCCAAUGGCAUCCAGAGAAAAAUGCUUUUGAAUGGGGCUUAUCUAUGAUUCCACACUCUGAGGAUGCCAUUCAAGUGACGCAACAUGUUGCAAACUUCUUCGUCAGUGAGGCUAGGAAGUCUUUGAACAGGCCACCUGCUCGUAAAGUGCUUGA